AUGAACGCUAGCUACAGGCUUAACACAUGCAAGUCGAGGGGCAGCAUGGUCUUAGCUUGCUAAGGCCGAUGGCGACCGGCGCACGGGUGAGUAACACGUAUCCAACCUGCCGUCUACUCUUGGACAGCCUUCUGAAAGGAAGAUUAAUACAAGAUGGCAUCAUGAGUCCGCAUGUUCACAUGAUUAAAGGUAUUCCGGUAGACGAUGGGGAUGCGUUCCAUUAGAUAGUAGGCGGGGUAACGGCCCACCUAGUCUUCGAUGGAUAGGGGUUCUGAGAGGAAGGUCCCCCACAUUGGAACUGAGACACGGUCCAAACUCCUACGGGAGGCAGCAGUGAGGAAUAUUGGUCAAUGGGCGCAGGCCUGAACCAGCCAAGUAGCGUGAAGGAUGACUGCCCUAUGGGUUGUAAACUUCUUUUAUAAAGGAAUAAAGUCGGGUAUGUAUACCUGUUUGCAUGUACUUUAUGAAUAAGGAUCGGCUAACUCCGUGCCAGCAGCCGCGGUAAUACGGAGGAUCCGAGCGUUAUCCGGAUUUAUUGGGUUUAAAGGGAGCGUAGAUGGAUGUUUAAGUCAGUUGUGAAAGUUUGCGGCUCAACCGUAAAAUUGCAGUUGAUACUGGAUAUCUUGAGUGCAGUUGAGGCAGGCGGAAUUCGUGGUGUAGCGGUGAAAUGCUUAGAUAUCACGAAGAACUCCGAUUGCGAAGGCAGCCUGCUAAGCUGCAACUGACAUUGAGGCUCGAAAGUGUGGGUAUCAAACAGGAUUAGAUACCCUGGUAGUCCACACGGUAAACGAUGAAUACUCGCUGUUUGCGAUAUACAGCAAGCGGCCAAGCGAAAGCGUUAAGUAUUCCACCUGGGGAGUACGCCGGCAACGGUGAAACUCAAAGGAAUUGACGGGGGCCCGCACAAGCGGAGGAACAUGUGGUUUAAUUCGAUGAUACGCGAGGAACCUUACCCGGGCUUAAAUUGCAGAUGAAUUACGGUGAAAGCCGUAAGCCGCAAGGCAUCUGUGAAGGUGCUGCAUGGUUGUCGUCAGCUCGUGUCGUGAGAUGUUGGGUUAAGUCCCGCAACGAGCGCAACCCUUGUUUCUAGUUGCUACGCAAGAGCACUCUAGAGAGACUGCCGUUGACAAAACGGAGGAAGGUGGGGAUGACGUCAAAUCAGCACGGCCCUUACGUCCGGGGCUACACACGUGUUACAAUGGGGGGUACAGAGGGCCGCUACCACGCGAGUGGAUGCCAAUCCCCAAAACCUCUCUCAGUUCGGACUGGAGUCUGCAACCCGACUCCACGAAGCUGGAUUCGCUAGUAAUCGCGCAUCAGCCACGGCGCGGUGAAUACGUUCCCGGGCCUUGUACACACCGCCCGUCAAGCCAUGGGAGCCGGGGGUGCCUGAAGUGCGUAACCGCGAGGAGCGCCCUAGGGUAAAACUGGUGACUGGGGCU
rnacentral:rRNA from 1 species